rnacentral:miRNA from 1 species
AGGAGGAAUAAGUCUGAUUUGUCA